rnacentral:lncRNA from 1 species
CGGGUUGAACUUUAAAUCUUCCAGGGGCUCUUUAGCAAAAACGUGAAUGAAGGGGUAUGUUCUAUUGUGAGCCGUUGAAUCUCGAUCUGAUGGUCCAGAACACAUCCAGGGGAUGGGGAGAUUUCAGCUGGCGACACCCAGGAACCAGACGGUGGCUCCAUUGCCGGAAAUAGGAGAAACUCGCCGGAGUUCAUGAAGAAAACACUAGGAAGCUCGGUUUUCGACGGGAAAAGUUCCGGAAGCAAGAGAGGACCCUCGCGAACUCACCUGGGGGGUUAUCGAAGCUCGGGAAGGCCUCGGGAGAGAUGCGCGACGCAAACCGCGGGCGGCCCUUCCUCUACAGAUUUCGGCGUCGAUUAGAGAGACAUUGGAAGCACUAGACAAUGUAAAAACAGGUCUGGCGGCCCCGCAAGGGCAUCACAAAGCUCGGCAUGGGGCUUACAACAACCAGAGAGCAAUGAAACUCGGUGAUGGCGGCGGCGGCUUGCUCUUGUGUUCACCGAGUUCCAAAACGGCGUCGGGGAGCAGGUUGAUUGCCUCUGGACGCUUGUAGAUGGAAAUAGAGACGCGGUGAGAAAAGGCCAAGGCUAAAACAGGCUCGGGAAAAAUCAAAUCCCGUGGAAAACGGGAUUGGCUCGGUCCCAUACGGUGGGGAAACCUGCUUGGUCACGUUCCAGGAAGAAGAAGGGAGCUGGUGACGCUAACGCGCGGGCCCAGAGUGGCAGUGGGAAGAAGAGAAGGGAAGCUCGGCUUGGGCCGGCCUGCUGCGUUUCGGGCCAAAGAGGAGAGGUGAAGUUUUUUUUUCCUUUUUUUCUUUUGCUUGUUCUCUUUUUAUUUCAAAGCCUUUUCAAAACAAUUUAAAAUCAGUUUGAAAAUAUUUUGACUUUGCCCAAAUUCACACAAAAUAAAUGCUCCAAAAUGAAUGCACAAACAAGUUGCUAAAUCCUAUGAUAAAUUUUAUUCAAAUGAAAAAUAUUAUUUUCCUAUAUUUUCAUGAGCACAAAAUACAAAAUUAAAUCAAAUUAGCUUUAUUUCCAAAGGAACAAAUUUUAGGGUGUUACAUUUAUGCAAUUAUUUCUCUAUAGUCUAGUCUAAUAUUUUAUAUGAAUAACCUUGACUGAUUUCAUGACUUUCCUUACCGUUUCUAUAAGUUUUCCUUUGACUCCCCUUAUGGUUGCUCGGCAACGGCGCCAGAAAUGCUUGUUGACACUAGCUAACACCACUUGAAUACUAGGUUGUCAUCCACUGCAUGGUGCCAGAGUGUACAAAGGUAUUUAUGAAUAUGGAGGCUCUCUAGAAAAUAAUCUAUUCUAUCCGCAAGCGCACAGAUAAAACACCUCAUUGUAGCAUUUCACCAGGAAAGUAUUCCAGAUAUCGUUAUUUAUAAUUUUGCUCAAGAGAACAAGGGAUGAAAUUAAGAUAAAUCAAGGCAUAGACUAGAGAUAACUUACAAGAACAUGAUUACUGAUGAGGAACUCGUCACACAGUCACUUACUUUGAUAGGGGGUAAGCCAUAAUAAUAAUGAUAAUGAAAUAUAAGAUCAUGGGUAAAUAACACAGCGAUUAGAAAAUAGACUACUCCUCAUAUAUGUAAGGUGACGUCGGAUUAGCUAGAGAAUGGAUUCUAAAUUAUCUACUAUCUACUAAGUCACAAUCUACUCUAGUUACCUACAAGAUCAUAUAUAGUAUAAAAGACUCUUCAUUCAUGUAUAAGGAACAUUGCUAAAGUAAAUCAG